rnacentral:rRNA from 1 species
ACGGGGAGCACCACAACAGGUGGAGCCUGCGGUUUAAUCGGACUCAACGCCGGGAAACUCACCAGAUAAGACAGCUGAAUGAUAGUCGGGCUGAAGACUCUACUUGACUAGCUGAGAGGAGGUGCAUGGCCGUCGUCAGUUCGUACUGUGAAGCAUCCUGUUAAGUCAGGCAACGAGCGAAACCCACGCCAACAGUUGCCAGCUCGUCCUCCGGGAUGGUGGGGACACUGUUGGGACCGCCUCUGCUAAAGAGGAGGAAGGAAUGGGCAACGGUAGGUCAGCAUGCCCCGAAUUAUCUGGGCUACACGCGGGCUACAAUGGGUGGGACAAUGGGUAUCGACACCGAAAGGUGAAGGCAAUCUCCUAAACCCAUCCGUAGUUCGGAUUGUGGGCUGCAACUCGCCCACAUGAAGCUGGAAUCUGUAGUAAUCGUGUCUCAAAAUGGCACGGUGAAUAUGUCCCUGCUCCUU